rnacentral:rRNA from 1 species
UACGGAGGGUGCAAGCGUCAUCCGGAUUCACUGGGUUUAAAGGGUGCGUAGGUGGGUUGAUAAGUCAGUGGUGAAAUCCCCGAGCUUAACUUGGGAACUGCCAUUGAUACUAUUGAUCUUGAAUACCGUGGAGGUCAGCGGAAUAUGUCAUGUAGCGGUGAAAUGCUUAGAUAUGACAUAGAACACCAAUUGCGAAGGCAGCUGGCUACGCGAAUAUUGACACUGAUGCACGAAAGCGUGGGGGAUCAAACAGG